rnacentral:tRNA from 1 species
GGCCUCGUGGUCUAGUGGUAUGAUUCUCGCUUCGGGUCCGAGAGGUCCCGGGUUCGAUUCCCGGUGAGGCCC